UGAUUCUCUCUCACUCAUUGUGUGUCCAUCACAGUCCUGGUCUGUGGUGAGCACGCCAGAGGAAUACUUGGUGGAGAGGCCCAGCGAGGUCCCUAGUUCUGGGUGGGACAGGGUCUCCUCGUACACACCAAGCUGGAAGUCUAGGCAACUGAGUUUCCCGACUGUCUAGCAUUCAAAAUUCAGCUGUGGUCCAAGGGCACCUCCUGGCGGUAAAAACAAGCUUAGGCGUGAGCCACCUCGCCCGGCCCUUAACUAUUAUUACUAUUAUUUUUGAGUCAGGGUGUCACUUUGUUGUCCAGGCUAGAGUGCAGUGGCACCAUUAUGGCUCACUGUAGCCUCGACCUCGCAGGCGCAAGUGAUCUUCCUAUCUUAGCCUCUG
rnacentral:lncRNA from 10 species